ACAUGCCUACAAGAUAGCGUUAAUGCACCAGAUCCCAUUAGAACUCCACAGUUAAGUGCACUCAGGCUAGAGUAGUACUGGAAUGGGUGAUUGCCUAGAAAGUCCUAGUGUUUUACAUGCC
rnacentral:rRNA from 1 species